rnacentral:rRNA from 1 species
UACGUAGGGGGCAAGCGUUGUCCGGAUUUAUUGGGCGUAAAGAGCUCGUAGGCGGUUUGUUGCGUCGGCCGUGAAAACCUGCAGCUUAACUGUGGGCCUGCGGCCGAUACGGGCAGACUUGAGUUCGGUAGGGGAGACUGGAAUUCCUGGUGUAGCGGUGAAAUGCGCAGAUAUCAGGAGGAACACCAAUUGCGAAGGCAGCUCGCUGGGACGUUACUGACGCUGAGACGCGAAAGCGUGGGGAGCAAACAGG